rnacentral:rRNA from 1 species
GAUCAUGGCUCAGGAUGAACGCUAGCUACAGGCUUAACACAUGCAAGUCGAGGGGCAGCAUGACCUAGCAAUAGGUUGAUGGCGACCGGCGCACGGGUGAGUAACACGUAUCCAACCUACCGGUUAUUCCGGGAUAGCCUUUCGAAAGAAAGAUUAAUACCGGAUAGUAUAACGAGAAGGCAUCUUCUUGUUAUUAAAGAAUUUCGAUAACCGAUGGGGAGUGCGGUUCCUACUUAGUUUGUUGGCGGGGUAACGGGCCCGACCCAACG